rnacentral:tRNA from 1 species
GUUGGUGUCGUUUAAACGGAUUAAGACAGUAGCAGCAUAUGCAAUCGGGUCGACUGCUGCAGAUGCAGGUUCAAGUCCUGUCACCAGCA